UACGAAGGUCCCAAGCGUUAUCCGGAUUUAUUGGGUUUAAAGGGUGCGUAGGCGAGUUAUUAAGUCAGUGGUGAAAGCUCCAUGCCUAACAUGGAAAUUGCCAUUGAUACUGAUGAUCUUGAGUACAUUUGAAGUGGGCGGAAUGUGUCAUGUAGUGGUGAAAUACUUAGAUAUGACACAGAACACCGAUUGCGUAGGCAGCUCACUAAACUGUAACUGACGCUGAUGCACGAAAGCGUGGGGAGCGAACAGG
rnacentral:rRNA from 1 species